rnacentral:rRNA from 1 species
CCUACGGGAGGCAGCAGUGGGGAAUUUUGGACAAUGGGCGAAAGCCUGAUCCAGCAAUGCCGCGUGAGUGAAGAAGGCCUUCGGGUUGUAAAGCUCUUUUGUCAGGGAAGAAACGGUGAUUUCUAAUACAGAUUGCUAAUGACGGUACCUGAAGAAUAAGCACCGGCUAACUACGUGCCAGCAGCCGCGGUAAUACGUAGGGUGCAAGCGUUAAUCGGAAUUACUGGGCGUAAAGCGUGCGCAGGCGGUUUUGUAAGUCUGACGUGAAAUCCCCGGGCUCAACCUGGGAAUUGCGUUGGAGACUGCAAGGCUAGAGUUUGGCAGAGGGGGGUAGAAUUCCACGUGUAGCAGUGAAAUGCGUAGAUAUGUGGAGGAACACCGAUGGCGAAGGCAGCCCCCUGGGUCAAGACUGACGCUCAUGCACGAAAGCGUGGGGAGCAAACAGGAUUAGAUACCCUGGUAGUCCACGCCCUAAACGAUGUCUACUAGUUGUCGGGUCUUAAUUGACUUGGUAACGCAGCUACGCGUGAGUAGACCGCCGNGGGAGGUACGGUCGGUCGAGAGUUAAACGUAACGAAAGGAAGUUAGACGGCGNGAGACGNGCCGACGGACGACGACGAGGGAGGAGG